rnacentral:tRNA from 1 species
AUAUAGAUAGAAAGGUACGACGAACCAAAGCGCCCACACAGUUUGUUUUCAAGAAGAAGCAGAGAAGACGAAGCUACUCCGAUGCGAGGGAGCGAAGCGACCAAGCAGGUCAAGUGGUUUUGACCAGAGCUAGCUGGAAUAUUUUGCGAAGAGUUUUACUUCAAACGAGGAAUCGAUGCGAACGCGUGAAGGGGCAUACGGUUGUAUGUGGCUGAGCGAGGGAGCUUCGUAACCAAGGGGUAAGUAAAAGGCUGAAGCGAAGAAAAAGGGGUCGUAGCUCAGCUGGGAGAGCACCUGCCUUGCACGCAGGGGGUCGGGAGUUCGAUCCUCCCCGGCUCCACCAUGUUUUUUCUGUGGGAUCUGUCAGAUGAAAGUGAUUUUUGAAAGAUUGUUUUCAUCUGGUUAAUCCGGACGUUCAUUAACAAUUUGGUAAAGAUAAAAAGGGUAAACACAAGCGAAUUAGUAUUGUCUUUGUAGUAUGACCUUUAUUGAUUUUAGCGAUGGCUUUGAAUUGAGGCGACGAGAUUUGGGGUUAGCUGCUGAAGGCGAUUGAGGUUAUAUGGUCAAGAAGAG